rnacentral:rRNA from 1 species
UUCGGGAUGAGUAGAGCGGCGCACGGGUGAGUAACGCGUAAGUAAUCUAUCCCUGUAUCUGGAAUAACUAUGGGAAACUGUGGCUAAUACCGGAUACGUUUAUCUCUUUGCGAAUUGAUAAGAAAGGUGGCCUCUUCUUGAAAGCUACUGUACGGGGAGGAGCUUGCGUACCAUUAGCUUGUUGGUGGGGUAAUGGCCUACCAAGGCAACGAUGGUUAGCGGGUCUGAGAGGAUGAUCAGCCACACUGGGACUGAGACACGGCCCAGACUCC